AAUCCUAACAUAAGGAGGGGGAUGGGAUGGGACUGGUGAGAUUACCUCAUCUACAGCAAAUUGUGUUAUUAUAACCUCCAUGGCUUUCUGCGCAAUGAAUGGAGAACGACACAAAGCGGUUAAAGGGGUGAGAAUGACGGUGUCUUGCUUAGGGUGAAUAAAAUCACUUCCAAAAAGGUCUGCCCUUUCAACUGAUCUGUGUUACGUAACAAUAGAAGUCCAGCGUCUCCUCUCAUCUGCCACCUGUGGAUCUCUCAGAGCAUCUGCCCGGGUGAAUGGGGGCAGGGCCAGAGGCGCCUCGGCACGCUUGAGAGGGGACACCCUAUCUAAAGGAUCCUAGUUGGGUCCUUUUGUGCAGCUGCUGAGUCGCGCUCACCCAAACCCCCACGAGCCACCUGUUGUUGCAACUGGACUGUGGAAGAUGGCUGAGGUUUCUUGGGGGUUGGGUGAGUUUUGGGGUGGGCGCCUAACUGGUUUUAAAGCAAAAAAAUCUUUUUAAGCAUAUUUUUGUCUUAGGGUUUCCCUCAACUUGUAAUCACAUGUCUGUCAAUUGUUUCAGAAAAUCACAUCGCAACAAGAUAAAUCAUAGAAGAUUCCAGUGUCAUUGAUGCAUUAUUAUAUUUAGUAAUAGAGGAUUAAAGUAUGGAAAUACAAACACGCAUAUCAAGAUCAGGAUAAUCAUGGGGAAAUCAUGAUUAUCCUGAUCAUAUUAAUCAUAUUUCCUACUUUUCAAGAGUUCAUAGAAACACUGUGGUAUAAAAGAUUACAGCCUUGCCCUGAACAUUCAACACUUAAAAGUUUCUAUUAUCAGUCUGAUAGGAAAAUUAAAGGGCACAGGAUGGAAGCAUACCUCAGAGUCAGGAAGCAUGCCUUAGGUUAUCACACAGUGGUGUACUUUACUGUGUUAAUGAGCCAUCCAAAGUGAGAAGCAUGCAAAACAGCAACUGUAGUUCUGUGGGUCCCUAAUCCUUGCUCUUGAGAUGUGUAGAAAUAUUGCAUGAUCUUUAGUAGACUGAUAUUAUCAUAAAAAAAAGAAGUGAGUAAACAGAAAACAUCAAAAAGAGAGCAAAGUGGUUGCACUAAUAUCCACAAGGUAUCCUGAAAACAAAGAAGAAAACUGAAGAGUCAGUGAAAAGAGCCUGGAGAAGAUUUAAGACACUGAAUGAGAGAAUUAAGAUAUACAAGGAUUAUGUAAGAUAACAGAGAUUGAACUAAAACCUGAUGAAAACCAGAUGGUUUUCAUUCUUCUUCUUUUUUAAGUGUUGGUCAUUUUAGAAGGCCAAAGAUAACAUUUGUGUUGAAAAAUUACUUUGUAUUUAAAUAAGAGAAAUAAAACCCUCGCUAUAACUCGGUUCACCUUUCACGGCGUCACUGUUUCACAGAUUUUUGGGGUUCUUUUGUGCAGUUUUCUUUUUCUUCACAGUGCAUUGUGUUCUGCGUCCUGAUUGGCUAAACAGUCUCCGCGCUUCUUUUCUACCUGUGUGCCAAUAACGUUACGGUAUACAGCUUGGCAAAUAUUUUUGCCCAAAAGAAAAAAGAGCGACAACAACUACAGAUAACUAUCCUCUUCUCUCUCGAAAAAAAACCC